rnacentral:rRNA from 1 species
AUUGAACGCUGGCGGCAGGCUUAACGCAUGCAAGUCGAACGGUAACAUAAAGAAGCUUGCUUCUUUGAUGACGAGUGGCGGACGGGUGAGUAAUGCUUGGGAAUCUAGCUUAUGGAGGGGGAUAACUACGGGAAACUGUAGCUAAUACCGCGUAGAAUCGAGAGAUGAAAGUGUGGGACCUUCGGGCCACAUGCCAUAGGAUGAGCCCAAGUGGGAUUAGGUAGUUGGUGAGGUAAAGGCUCACCAAGCCGACGAUCUCUAGCUGGUCUGAGAGGAUGACCAGCCACACUGGGACUGAGACACGGCCCAGACUCCUACGGGAGGCAGCAGUGGGGAAUAUUGCGCAAUGGGGGCAACCCUGACGCAGCCAUGCCGCGUGAAUGAAGAAGGCCUUCGGGUUGUAAAGUUCUUUCGGUAGCGAGGAAGGCAUUUAGUUUAAUAGACUAGGUGAUUGACGUUAACUACAGAAGAAGCACCGGCUAACUCCGUGCCAGCAGCCGCGGUAAUACGGAGGGUGCGAGCGUUAAUCGGAAUAACUGGGCGUAAAGGGCACGCAGGCGGUGACUUAAGUGAGGUGUGAAAGCCCCGGGCUUAACCUGGGAAUUGCAUUUCAUACUGGGUCGCUAGAGUACUUUAGGGAGGGGUAGAAUUCCACGUGUAGCGGUGAAAUGCGUAGAGAUGUGGAGGAAUACCGAAGGCGAAGGCAGCCCCUUGGGAAUGUACUGACGCUCAUGUGCGAAAGCGUGGGGAGCAAACAGG